GCAAGUCGAGCGCUACCUUCGGGUGGAGCGGCGGACGGGUUAGUAACGCGUGGGAACGUACCCAGAUCUAAGGAAUAGCCAUUGGAAACGAUGAGUAAUACCAUAUACGCCCUUCGGGGGAAAGAUUUAUCGGAGAAGGAUCAGCCCGCGUUAGAUUAGAUAGUUGGUGGGGUAAUGGCCUACCAAGUCUACGAUCUAUAGCUGGUUUUAGAGGAUGAUC
rnacentral:rRNA from 1 species